CCGGGGCCCGGCCUCCCCCGUCCGCCCUGUGAGCCGAGAUGUCUGUGCUCAGCGUGGACGUGGCACUGGGGGACCUUCACUGGAGGAGUCCAGCCUUUCCCCCCCGCACCAGAUGCUGUGCCUGGUGACAGAUGAUCGUGAGAUGCAGGAGGAAAACCGGGACAUCAAAACUCGGUGACCAGCGAGGCUACCAAAACGACAAAAGCCCCCCACCCACCACUCCGUGCGGUCUGGUCUGGAAGUGACCACUCCGUGAGAAAGGAUGCUUCCUCACCAGGGUGUUCUGGCAGCUGGAACACAGGCGCAUGCAGGUCCGUGCCUGCAUCCACCUUCUGGAGAAGAACCAACAGCACCCCUGGUGAGGAGAAAGGGCCGUCAAGAUAUAGCAGCUGGUGGUAGGUCACACGCUUUUCAGACCUGAGCCCAGACUCCAGUGAAGGACCCCGCUCUUCCCGCCUUCCCAGCCCUGUGCUUCUUCCUGCCCGAGCAGAUUGCUC